rnacentral:rRNA from 1 species
GAGUUUGAUCAUGGCUCAGGACGAACGCUGGCGGCGUGCUUAACACAUGCAAGUCGAACGGUAAGGCCCCUUUUUUGGGGUGUACGAGUGGCGAACGGGUGAGUAACACGUGAGUAACCUACCCCGGACUUUGGGAUAACAGUUGGAAACGAUUGCUAAUACUGGAUAUGAGCUGCUGCCGCAUGGUGGUGGUUUGAAAGUUCCGGCGGUUUGGGAUGGGCUCGCGGCCUAUCAGCUUGUUGGUGAGGUGAUGGCUUACCAAGGCUUCGACGGGUAGCCGGCCUGAGAGGGCGACCGGCCACAUUGGGACUGAGAUACGGCCCAAACUCCUACGGGAGGCAGCAGUGGGGAAUAUUGCACAAUGGACGGAAGUCUGAUGCAGCAACGCCGCGUGCGGGAUGACGGCCUUCGGGUUGUAAACCGCUUUCAUCCAUGACGAAGCUUUUGUGACGGUAGUGGGUAAAGAAGCACCGGCUAACUACGUGCCAGCAGCCGCGGUGAUACGUAGGGUGCGAGCGUUGUCCGGAUUUAUUGGGCGUAAAGAGCUUGUAGGCGGUUUGUCGCGUCGGGAGUGAAAACUCGGAGCUUAACUUUGAGCUUGCUUUCGAUACGGGCUGACUUGAGGGAGGUAGGGGAGAAUGGAAUUCCUGGUGGAGCGGUGGAAUGCGCAGAUAUCAGGAGGAACACCGGUGGCGAAGGCGGUUCUCUGGACCUUUCCUGACGCUGAGAAGGCGAAAGCGUGGGGAGCGAACAGGCUUAGAUACCCUGGUAGUCACGCCGUAAACGGGGGGUAUUGGUGGGGGGAACAUUCCCCUUUCUCCGUGCGGUAGGUAACGCAUUAAGUACCCCGCGUGGGGAGUAUGCCGCACGGUCUAAAACUCAAAGGAAUUGUCGGGGCCCCGCACAAGCGGCGCCCCCCGCGGAUAAAUUAGAUGCAACGGGAAGACCGUUACAUGGGUUGGGCGUAUGCUCCCCCCCCCCCCCCCGGGGAGUGCAUUUAUGGUCGGUAAAAAAAAAGUGCAUGGCUGUCGUCAGCUCGUGUCGUGAGAUGCAGGGUUAAGUCCCGCAACGAGCGCAACCCUCGUCCAAUGUGGCCAGCGGGUUAUGCCGGGGACUCAUUGGAGACCGCCGGGGUCAACUCGGAGGAAGGUGGGGAUGACGCCACCUCCUCAUGCCCCUUAUGUCCAGGGCUUCCCCCCCCCCCCAAUGGCCGGUACAAAGAGCUGCGAGCCUGUGAGGGUGAGCGAAUCUCGGAAAGCCGGUCUCAGUUCGGAUUGGGGUCUGCAACUCGACCCCAUGAAGUCGGAGUCACGAGUAAUCGCAGAUCAGCAACGCUGCGGUGAAUACGUCCAAGGGGCUUGUACACACCGCCCGUC